rnacentral:rRNA from 1 species
CCUACGGGCGGCUGCAGUGGGGAAUAUUGCACAAUGGGCGCAAGCCUGAUGCAGCCAUGCCGCGUGUGUGAAGAAGGCCUUCGGGUUGUAAAGCACUUUCAGCGGGGAGGAAGGCGGUGAGGUUAAUAACCUCAUCGAUUGACGUUACCCGCAGAAGAAGCACCGGCUAACUCCGUGCCAGCAGCCGCGGUAAUACGGAGGGUGCAAGCGUUAAUCGGAAUUACCGGGCGUAAAGCGCACGCAGGCGGUCUGUCAAGUCGGAUGUGAAAUCCCCGGGCUCAACCUGGGAACUGCAUUCGAAACUGGCAGGCUAGAGUCUUGUAGAGGGGAGUAGAAUUCCAGGUGUAGCGGUGAAAUGCGUAGAGAUCUGGAGGAAUACCGGUGGCGAAGGCGGCCCCCUGGACAAAGACUGACGCUCAGGUGCGAAAGCGUGGGGAGCAAACAGGAUUAGAUACCCUAGUAGUC